rnacentral:lncRNA from 1 species
CACACCUCUAUCUCUAAACACAGUAGCAUACAUACCAUACACUACUAAUGGAGCAUUUUACAUACACAUCACUAAUCAAAGUAGUGUGUGUACCAUGCACCGGCACAUGAAGUAUUUCACACAUGGAAAACAUAGCCUAGUUCUGUGUCCCACAGAAAAAGGAAACAGCACAUAGCAGUCUUUGCCACAGUCCAUCAAUUUGAUCAUAAAAUAUCCUUUUGCUCCUUUCUUCCCAGAAUGCACUUACCUCCCCCCCAAGGAAGACAAGACAAAACCCUGUCCAGUUAUUUUAUCCAGUGCAAAUUCCAGGGAUUAAGGAUUCCUCUCCUCCCUCGCUUACAACACCUGGAAUCAUCAUUUGGGGCCUACUCCUGUUCCUCUGUAGAGUUGACAGUUAAGCUGUACACAGCAGUGAAAAUCUCUUUCAAAAAUGAAGGUGAAAUAAAGACUUUUUCAGACAAACAAAAGCAGAGGGAAUUUUAUUGCCAGCAGACCUGCACUUCAGGCAAUGUUAAAGUAAGUUCUUCAAGUGGGAGGAAAAUAAUACCAGAUGGAAACUGGGAUCUACACAAAGGAUUGAAGAAUGCCAGAAAUGACAAAUAUCUAUCUGACUAUAAAAAAGGCCUUAACUAAAUGAGAAGAAAAGGAAAUGAGAAGAAAAAGAAAAAGGAAAGGAUAGAGGUAAAGGAAAAUAUUCUCCUUGAAAUCUCCCAAAUCCUAGUGUGGUUGUUUCAUUGACCUCUUCCCACUAUUUACUUAUUCUUUGCUCCAAUUCCUUUAACAUUAUCUAGACAAAUUACUCUAGUGCUGUCAUCUGCUUUCAAGACUUUAUUUAUACACUGGUAAGUCAAUAUAUGUUUUCUAGAUACCUUAUGAUGUUUUGUGAUUUCUAUUACUUAUUUUUAUUACAUUAAGAUAUCAGAAUUGUUACAAUAAAAACAUUUUUGACACCCCCCCCCCUUGCCCGUCACACGCACAGAAAGGUAUCUUUGAAAUCAAU